GGUCAAGCUACAAAGGGCUCACGGUGGAUACCUUGGCACACAGAGGCGAUGAAGGACGUGGUUACCUGCGAUAAGUCUCGGGGAGCUGGAAGCACGCUUUGAUCCGGGAAUUUCCGAAUGGGGCAACCCCUAGUACGGCCAGCUGAAUCCAUA
rnacentral:rRNA from 1 species